AAUUCUAAACUUUACCUUCAAGUAAAAUUAAUUUUAAAAAAUAAAGUCAAUUUUAUUUGAGAGGAAUCAAACUGUCAAAAUCAAUUAUAUAUUUAUAGAAUCAAUUCUAAAUGCUCUAACCAAAAGAAUUGAUUCCAAAAGGUAUUAGUGAAUGAAUUGAAAUCCAACCUUUCUCUAAUUUGUAUUAUUUCUACCUAUCUAUCCAACAAAAGUUGAUGUGUUUGUUUUAGCAAAAGAAGAAAAACGAAUCAAUACCCUUUCUCAAUCAAUGAUGGUGCAGAUUGUAGGGUGAGUCAUAGAUCAGAGUGGUCCUAUACAAAAGGUAGUAAGUCUCAGCUACAUUAUUUAUUCAAAUUCUACCAACUUUUCUUAUUUAACUCCUUUGCUCAAAAAAUAAAAUAAAAGGCUUCAUCUUCAAGUGAUGCAGUGUUAAGAAGAAUGGUGAUUUUUAUUUGAACAACCACAACUGUGAUUUUCUUGAUUAAGGAACUCGGCAAAUAAUCCAAGAGAGAAUCAUGUGGUAGUAUAUAACUCACAUGUCUCUCUUAAAUAUGUUCAAACGAAUUGUAUGAUAUAUUUGUAAGAUUUUACAAAUUGAUCUACGAAUCAAUUUAAUAUUUAUCAUAUAAAUAUGAUUUUCAUUAGAAUGUAGAUUUACAACUUAGUGUGUUCAUGGUUUCUGAGUAUGUUUUAGUUGCCAUGUAUGCUCUGUAUGUUGUUUUAGUCAGGUGUAUUUCUUUCACUGUUUA